rfam:Providencia rettgeri Dmel1 chromosome, whole genome shotgun sequence.
UAUUCUAUGCAUUUUGUGAUUUUUCGUUUCUUUUUUUACUUUAGCACCUGAAUUUCGGGGGCUUUUGCGCGUAAAUAGAAAGAAGAAAUGAAAAGUUACGCUAAAGCCUCCUUAGGGAGGCUUUUUUGUU